GACAUUGUAUCGAAGCAUCCAGAGAUGGAUGUGUCUCUUCGGAGACGGUAUGACAGGUGCUGCAUGGCUGUCGUCAGCUCGUGCCGUGAGGUGUUGGGUUAAGUCCCGCACGAGCGCAACCCUAUCUUUAGUUGCCAUCAGUUCGGCUGGGCACUCUAUGGAGACUGCCACCUAAAGUGGAGGAAGGUGGGGAUGACGUCAAGUCAGCAUGGCCCUUACGUCCGGGGCUACACACGUGCUACAAUGGCCGGUACAAAGGGUUGCGAAGCCGUGAGGUGGAGCGAAUCUCAAAAAGCCGGCCUCAGUUCGGAUUGGAGGCUGCAACUCGCCUCCAUGAAGUCGGAAUCGCUAGUAACCGCAGAUCAGCCAAGCUGCGGUGAAUACGUUCCCGGGCCUU
rnacentral:rRNA from 1 species